rnacentral:piRNA from 1 species
CACACUGACCAGAACUAACUGGAAGGUGG